rnacentral:tRNA from 1 species
GUGCGACUAGCUCAGUUUGGUUAGAGCGCUACCUUGACACGGUAGAGGUCGGCGAUUCGAGUUCGCCGUCGCACACCA